UAUCUGAUUCAGGAAGAUUGAAUAUCAAUGUUUAUCCAUAAUUAUUACAUAAUUACUUUCUACAUGUUUUGCUAUAAUAAGAUGAACUUAUCAGGAGUACUCGUUUUGUUCGUAUUUUUCAUACUAAAUGAAGAAAUGCAACAAGUAUCUGGUGCAAAUUGUGCAACAGCGGUCCCUUCCUCACUGACCGCUGGUCAAUUUUACGUCCGGAACACGGGAUGCACUACUAUCAAGGAUUCAAAGACUUUGGUCCACCCACCAACCCCACGGUCCGGUGUCACUGUUGGAGCUUUUGCGGCUAUAUUUGCAACAAACACAUGAAUUACGUGGGUAACUAAAUUGGCUACUUAUUUAUUUUGAGUGCUUACAUAAGAAGUAAGUGAAGAACGUAUAAGAUUGCAAACCAAAUGGAUGGACUAAUCUUGUCUAAUAUGGAUUUAAAUCUAACCAGAUAGUAAAUAUGACAAGUAAUAAAGUUAAUGUCAUAAACAUAA